rnacentral:rRNA from 1 species
GGUGAACCUGCGGAAGGAUCAUUACCGAGUGCGGGCUGCCUCCGGGCGCCCAACCUCCCACCCGUGACUACCUAACACUGUUGCUUCGGCGGGGAGCCCUCUCGGGGGCGAGCCGCCGGGGACUACUGAACUUCAUGCCUGAGAGUGAUGCAGUCUGAGUCUGAAUAUAAAAUCAGUCAAAACUUUCAACAAUGGAUCUCUUGGUUCCGGCAUCGAUGAAGAACGCAGCGAACUGCGAUAAGUAAUGUGAAUUGCAGAAUUCAGUGAAUCAUCGAGUCUUUGAACGCACAUUGCGCCCCCUGGCAUUCCGGGGGGCAUGCCUGUCCGAGCGUCAUUGCUGCCCAUCAAGCCCGGCUUGUGUGUUGGGUCGUCGUCCCCCCCGGGGGACGGGCCCGAAAGGCAGCGGCGGCACCGUGUCCGGUCCUCGAGCGUAUGGGGCUUUGUCACCCGCUCGAUUAGGGCCGGCCGGGCGCCAGCCGACGUCUCCAACCAUUUUCUUCAGGUUGACCUCGGAUCAGGUAGGGAUACCCGCUGAACUUAAGCAUAUCAAUAAGCGGAGGAA